GACGAACGCUGGCGGCGUGCUUAACACAUGCAAGUCGAACGGAAAGGCCCUGCUUUUGUGGGGUGCUCGAGUGGCGAACGGGUGAGUAACACGUGAGUAACCUGCCCUUGACUUUGGGAUAACUUCAGGAAACUGGGGCUAAUACCGGAUAGGAGCUCCUGCUGCCUGGUGGGGGUUGGAAAGUUUCGGCGGUUGGGGAUGGACUCGCGGCUUAUCAGCUUGUUGGUGGGGUAGUGGCUUACCAAGGCUUUGACGGGUAGCCGGCCUGAGAGGGUGACCGGCCACAUUGGGACUGAGAUACGGCCCAGACUCCUACGGGAGGCAGCAGUGGGGAAUAUUGCACAAUGGGCGGAAGCCUGAUGCAGCAACGCCGCGUGCGGGAUGACGGCCUUCGGGUUGUAAACCGCUUUCGCCUGUGACGAAGCGUGAGUGACGGUAAUGGGUAAAGAAGCACCGGCUAACUACUUG
rnacentral:rRNA from 1 species